GCGCCGGAUGCCGUUACUUCCUUUUCCCCUCGCCCCGCGCCCUCGAGUGGCACACCCGCGUACCCCCGGGCCACUGCCUAAUCAUCGACGCCCCGCCAGCCUCAACUGCCUCUACCAGCUACUGGCUUCGCCUGCUCCCGCUGCGCUUAGGCCGCUUCCACCCCCAAGGCCGUCCAGAAGCAGAGGCAUCACCUGCGUCGCCCGCUACCGCCAGCAGCACCUGCGUUGCCACUCCCUCUUCACCGGCCACCAGCGCUCGAAGUGGCCUCGCUCGGGUACCG
rnacentral:rRNA from 1 species